ACGGGUGAGUAAUGCAUCGGAACGUACCCGGAAGUGGGGGAUAACGUAGCGAAAGUUACGCUAAUACCGCAUAUUCUGUGAGCAGGAAAGUGGGGGAUCGCAAGACCUCACGCUUUCGGAGCGGCCGAUGUCGGAUUAGCUAGUUGGUGGGGUAAAGGCCUACCAAGGCGACGAUCCGUAGCGGGUCUGAGAGGAUGAUCCGCCACACUGGGACUGAGACACGGCCCAGACUCCUACGGGAGGCAGCAGUGGGGAAUUUUGGACAAUGGGCGCAAGCCUGAUCCAGCCAUGCCGCGUGAGUGAAGAAGGCCUUCGGGUUGUAAAGCUCUUUCGGCGGGGAAGAAAUUGCACUUGUUAAUACCGAGUGUAGAUGACGGUACCCGCAUAAGAAGCACCGGCUAACUACGUGCCAGCAGCCGCGGUAAUACGUAGGGUGCGAGCGUUAAUCGGAAUUACUGGGCGUAAAGCGUGCGCAGGCGGUUUCGUAAGACAGAGGUGAAAUCCCCGGGCUCAACCUGGGAACGGCCUUUGUGACUGCGAGGCUAGAGUGUAGCAGAGGGGGGUAGAAUUCCACGUGUAGCAGU
rnacentral:rRNA from 1 species